GCUCAGUGGUAGAGCACUCACCUAGCACGUGUGAGGCCCUGGGUUCAAUCCUCAG
rnacentral:tRNA from 1 species